rnacentral:rRNA from 1 species
GGGCCCGCACAAGCGGUGGAGUAUGUGGUUUAAUUCGAUGCAACGCGAAGAACCUUACCAGGGUUUGACAUCCUGCGAAUCUCUUGGAAACGAGAGAGUGCCUUCGGGAACGCAGUGACAGGUGGUGCAUGGCUGUCGUCAGCUCGUGUCGUGAGAUGUUGGGUUAAGUCCCGCAACGAGCGCAACCCACGUCUUUAGUUGCCAGCAUUUAGUUGGGCACUCUAGAGAGACUGCCGGUGAUAAGCCGGAGGAAGGUGGGGACGACGUCAAGUCAUCAUGCCCCUUACAUCCUGGGCUACACACGUACUACAAUGCUACGGACAAAGAGCAGCAAGUUCGCGAGGACAAGCAAAUCUCAUAAACCGUGGCUCAGUUCAGAUCGUAGGCUGCAACUCGCCUACGUGAAGGAGGAAUCGCUAGUAAUCGCAGGU